ACCCUGGGGAAAGGGAUACCCUGGGGGUCCCCGGGGAUCUGUGGCCUCGGGCUGGGGGUCCAUUCUGUCCUGGGGUGUUUGGGGUGCGAUGUGCUUGGGAGUGUCUGGGGGUUUCGUUUUUUCUGGGGGGGGUUGGAGUCCCCCUUUCCCUGUGUCCCCUUGCCCCUCCGGCAGUGGGAGCCUCAAGAGCUCGGCUGCGUGUUCCAUUCUGCCGCCAGAGCUCGGGUGGGUGUGCUGGGAAGGACAGAGCCCCCUCAGCACCCUCAGCAGGACUCAGCUCUGAGCCCCCCACCCUCCUUACACCAGCUGCAUCCCAGUAUGUGGGUGGGAAAACACUUGGUCCUUCCCUCUCCUGCACCUUCGAGCACACCCAAAUUUGGGGAGGGGGUGACUUGAGGGGGGUUCUUCCCCUCUUGCAACCUGUCUGUUGGCCUGGAUGGAUCCCUGACCUGCGUGCCGAUGGUUUUGGGUGUAAGAACCGCGGUCUUGGUCCCCCUGGGGGUACAGCUGCUUGGGGGGCUCCAGGGGGCUGUGGGUUCACGACAGCAGCGAGGAGCUGGAGAUUCAAGCUGGGAAACGAAGGGAAGGAAACGCUCUCUGGGAAAUUGCCGAAAGCUGCUGACGGAGAGAAAGAAGCUGAGCAGGGCCAGUGUGCCCCGGGCGGGGGGGAAAUGAGCCCCCCUUCCCCUCCGGAUGGGAAGGUGGCGGCUUGAGGACAUCGGAACUGUCGCUCUGCACGGGGUGGGAUGUGACACUCCUCACCGCCCAGUGCGGUGGUCUGGGGGUCCCUGUGAUCCCUGUCGGUCCCAGCCCUCCAGAACCCUUCUGGCCCCGACCUAGGAGGGCUCUGACAGCGGGGCAGGCUCUGAAUCCCAGACACAGCCCCCCAAGGGGAUCUGGGGGUGGGGGUAAGGGAGCCACAACUCCCAGCUUGGGGGGGCCAAAACACACCCAUGUUGGGGGGUAGUGGGCAGACUGGUUUUCUCCCAGACCACCAGCGCUGGAGUGGCAGUGAGGAGGAGGAGGAGGAGGAGGAGGAGUGGAUCGCAUGGUGGGGCAGAGAUGCAGCCCCAGCCAGUCCUGGCUGUGGCAAUGGGAUGUGACUCAGGAUGUGUGAGGAGUGAGUGGUAGGGAUGGAUCCUGCCCCUUCUCCAGCACAUCCCAGCCCAGGGUAGAUGAGGAACAGCUCAUCCCCCACAAAAUACCACAGGACUCCCGUUCCCAUUGGUAUCCUGGGUACUGACUGCAUCUGGAACUCCCAUCCCCGAGCCUAGGGGGGCAUAUAGGGGGUAUACAGGGCUUGGGGCAUUAUUGCCCUCCAACACCCUGCAGUGGGGUGAGGCUGAGAAUGUCUGUUCCUCCUCUCCCUCCCUGCCACGAGCUCCAAUGCAAUUACCUGCAGAGUGGAUCAUGAAUCAAACGGUAAUUGAUACGUGUUCACAGCCUGGAGAAGCAGGAGGGGCUUGGGGAGGCCCCCACUGUCCCCAGGGAUUGGGAGGGGGCUCUGGGGGGCUACACUCAGGCACCUUUACUGACCUGCCAGGGAUUGGGGGGCUCCUCCUGCCUCAGUUUCCCCUCAGUGGGCUGAGGACCUGUUGAGGGCAGUGAGGGGACAGGCGUACGCGGGCGUUUGUCCUUGCGCUUCCUCUGGCAGACACAAACACAUCAGCAGGGCAAUAAAGGGGAGGAAAGGGCUGUGGCAGCUUCUUUCCAUUACAUGCAGCAGGGCUGGCUUCCUCCCACACUCAGCAGGGCUGGAAGGUAGAGCUGGAUCCCCAAACUGGGAUCUGUGGGUGCACCCCAGAGUUUCCCAGCCAGGCGGUCCCCACAAGGAGUCACGGCUUGCAGGAGUGGAAUCAGCCUGUGCUGGCACUGCAGUGGCCUGGUGCUGGUUUUUGAGGGGUUUGUGGGGUUUGGGAUAUAGGUUCCAGUGCUCUCAUGCCUCAUGACAUCACCUGGGAAGGGAGGUCUGAGGUGGGAGUACCCCACUGGACCCCAGGCAGUGGAGCUGGGAUGAGGAUAGUCCUGCUGCACCCCAAGCAGAAUGAGUUGGAGGGGAUUAGUCCUGCUGCACCCAGAGGGAGUUAGUCCUGCUGCAUGCUGGGCAGUGAGAAGCUGGGACAGGAUCCUCCCGUUGCAGGAUGACAUGGUGGCAUCUUCCCCCUGAACGGGAUAGGCCCCUUGGGUGACCUUGGCUUUUUGGAGUCAAGCUGUGACAUUUAGCAGGGAGGUGGUGGGCUGGGAUCCCCUGCAAACCUGGGUCUGGAGGGUGGUUGUCUGGGAGCUGAAUCCAUGGAUUUGGGUAUCCUGCUGCAUACCCACCCUAGCCACUCCGUGGAUGUGGGGGAGAGGAUGGUGGGGACUUGCCUGAGGGAGCCAUGGGGUGGAAAAUGCCAGGGAAUAGAGCUAGCUCCCGAGUCUCCCUCCUCUUGGUGCAGGAGAGAUCACUGCUCCUGGCCUGGCUCUGGCAGAUUCAGGGAGUCUGGUACCUUUAGAUGCCCUGGCCACAGCUUUGGAACCCCCACCCUAGACAAGGGGAGGCUGGAGGCCAGACCCCUGGCUGGGUGCUGACCCAUUAAACACCAGCACUGUGAUUCUUUCUGCCAUGGUCUUCUCCUGGCCAUGCCUCAUUUUUGCCAUCUCAGUAGCAAGACACCCACCCACCCCCCCACCUCCAAUUCCUAGACCCCUUCACGGCAAUUAAGAGCUGCAUCCCACCAUCAAACCCUCUCAGGCAUGGAAAAUAAGAGUAGUCCCUGUACAGACAGAGUGGAAUCCCCUGGUGGGGGCAGCUCUGGCAGCCCCCAGCCCCCCACACCCUGCUCCGGAGCACUGCCCAAAUCAAAUUCCUCCCCAGCUGCAGAUGGCCAGGAAUUCAAUUUUCCCAGAUCCCAUCAGAGACUGAUAAAUGAGGUCCCUAAUCACUGUGCAGAUCCCAUUAGCUCCAGCCAUGCCAGGAGGGGAUGCACGGAUGGAUGUGGGAAUGCUGCAUCUCCCUCCCCAUCCCACUGAUUUCUGUCCCCCCAGGGGACUUAAAUGUCCCCCAAGCCCUCUCUGGCUUCAUCCCCAGAGCUUUGCCAUGAUGGUCCCAAACAGAGCCAGGCACUGAGACCCCUGCAUGGCUAAUCCACCAGAAAACAUCUAGGAAAGUCCUGGAAACCAGCAGCCAGUGUGGGUGGGAAGGGGACUAUGUGCCAGGGAAGUUUUUCCAGCAAUGCCACGUCCCAGGAAUGUACAUCAUGCCACCUCUCACCCAGCACUGCCACUGCCAGCACCCAAAGCUUGGUGCCAGCUGGGUGCCAGCAUGUUUCUGUCCUUUGGGGUGAAGGCAGCUGCAUACCAGUGAUUCUCCUAACCAUGGGGCAGUUUCCCUGUAGCUGCUGUAGGAGGGUCCAUGUGCCCCUCCCUGACAUGAGUUAGGGACAAGUGACGUGGGGCUGAGUGGGGUCCCUUUUCCCCUCUCUGACGUGGCUUAGAGAGAAGUGACAGUGACACCCCCAGCCCUCACCACCUUCUCUUAGAAUAGUGAACUAAUUAGUGACAAACUAGUGACAGAUCAUUAGGCUAGUGGCCGAGCCAGCUGUUCCAAGAAGGCCACGAUGUUCUGGGGACGGAAAUCCUUGAGGACUGUGGCUGCUGUCCCGAUUUGUCCUGCCCGACAAAGGGACAUCAACAGGAAGCAACCUUGACUCUGGCCCAGUUCUCUUGGCCCCGGGAGGCCAGGCCAGGAUGUGGGAGGACAGACUAGGAGCACCCCAAGGGCUUGUGAGCUGCCAGAGGUUAGGAAAUUUGCUUGGUUCAGCAAAACAUGCUGCUCAGAAUGUGUGGGGUCCUCAGGGAGUGGCAUCUGUCUGGUUCCAGGCUGUCAAAACUGCGUGUGCAAAUGCUCUGUGCAAAUGUCCUGUGCAGUGUGAGCAUGCCAGGCUCCAGCGAGGCUGAUGUGUGGGUGAGGAUGAGGAGGAGGAGGAGGGGGUAAGGGAUGCACUAAGCUCCAGGGAGACAGUGGGCUCAGCACUGUUCAUUCCACCUGGACCAAACUCUACUGCCAUUCCAGGCAGGUCUUGCAUGGCCAUGACCCUUUGCUGGCAGGGAAACUGAGGUAGGAAACCUCCACAGAAAGGGAAACUGAGGUAGGCAUGCAGGGCUACUUGUGUGAAUUUUUGGGGUGGCUAAUUCCACAGACUUGUGUCCUCCAGCCCUUGGAAGCCUCAGCCUGGAUCGCUGGGUGCCAGGGUAGCUCCUGCACCCCAGCCCUUGCUUCCCAUCCAUGUUGCAAUAGGACCCCAGGCAAAUGACCAUGAGGAGACAAGAGAUAUCCCAGAAGUGUUUCCUUCCUGUUUGCCCUCAUUAUGCCCCUGGAAAAGAUGAGGUAAUUAAGGAGCUACCGUGUUACAGGUUGUUGCUGCCUGAUUAGAUUAAAGCAAUGUAAUUUGGGACUAAGAGCGGUGCUGGGAGGAAAUGGAUGGAUGGCUUCCCAGCUGGAGUUGGGCAGAGCUGCCAGCUCUACCUUCCAUCCAUCCCUCCAUCCUCUGUUGCCCUGGACCUUGCUCCAGGCACGCUGCUGGAGGGUUAUCAGGGAUUCUCCUUUGGGGGACUAGAGAUACUUCCUCUGUUUUCUCACCCCUACAGAGAGGAUUUCCUGGGGAAUUGUGACUGUGGGGCAGAGGGAAGGAGCCUGGAGCAGUGCUGGGGGUGACAGAGACAGGGUGACAGGGUGUCAGCAGUGUGGCAAAGCUGAAGGUAUCAGGGAUACUCUGGGGUGGGGGGAGGGUGGGAACAGGGAUGCUGUCUCUAUUUCCCCAGCUCUGUGGGGAGGAUUCCCUGGGAAAUCGUGGCUUUGGGCUGGGAAAAAGGAGCAGUGCAGGGAACAGGGACAGGGUGCCAGGGUUUUAGCAGUGUCACUCUGCCCACAGUGCAGCUGGUGACAGCAAAGUGGUAACAGUGCUGCCUUCAGGAGUUGCUUCCCUGCUCCUUAGCUCAGUUUCCCCAUCCACACCCCAGUGUCAGAAGCUGGUGAGCUCCUGGCCCUGCCCCUGGUUGUUAGCCCAGCGUUGCCAACACACAGACAGAGCUUGGCUAUAUUUAACCACCAUGGCCAGAGCACGAGGCCGAGCAGCCAGGGGAAAGCAGCCCCCCAGAACUGGAGGGGGCUGGGGCUGCUCAGCAUUGCUGGAGGUGGGAGAGGAGGAUGAAUCAUGGCUCAGGGAUAUUUUGGGAUAUUUUUAAUGCCGCCAGAUUGCUCGGCAAAUGCUUGGGCAGGGUGGCGCGGGUGCAGGCUGGGUGUUUGCUGGCAGCUGUGGCUCGCUUUGGGGGCCUAGGGGGAUCAGCUGCUCCCCGUGGUGCUGUCACUCUGCAUUGGAGAGGUGACAAAGGCAGGGACAUCUGUCCCCAUGCGCUUGGAAACAACUCUGGGUGUGAUGGGUGGGGGCAAAAGAGGGUCCUGGAACAUCAUCUUCCUCCUUGAAGGGGAGGCAGGAGGGGAAAAAGUUUCUCCAUCACUGGGAUGGGGAAAAGGCAGAGCUGGGGCAUGGGAGGGAGGGUGGGUGUGUCUGCCUGCAGCGUUGUGGUGGAUAGGGAGCCCUUGGACAGGGACAUGUACCCAGGCACCCUCUGGGUGAGACACAGGGAGUGGUGAGGGUAGAGGUAGGCUGCCUCCCAGGAUUUUGCUUUUCACCCAUCAAACAUGACAAGAUCCAGAGGCUGGUGGCUAAAAAUGCAUCCUAUCUGAAGAGACCACAGUGGGAGGCAGCCCUAAGGCCCCAGCACUGGCUCUCAGCCUUGCAAAAAGGUGACUACAUGGUCACCCUCCUCAUCCAGGGCUCUGCUUGGUAGGGAAUUCCCUGGGGAGCAGCUCCUCUGUCCUUGAAGUCUGCAAACCCUCUGUGAGAGACAUUGGGGCUGGUGAGACAGGCAGCAGGGGGAUCCUUUGCUGCACCCCAGACCCGUGCUUGCUGUGUUCUGCACUCCCAAGCAUCCCAAUCCCUUUGCAAUCUGAACCUGCAAAACCCAUUGAGAAGCAUCUGCAUGGGAUGUGGGUAGGGGGAUGCACUGCCCACAGGCAGCAAGAGCUGUGCACUCAGCAUCUUGGAUGCUCUAAUUUGAUUUGGGGCCUGCAACUGGGGGUGAAGUUGUCCAGACAGAGCGAUGUCCAGCUCCAUCCCAGAGGUGAUUGCUCAGGCUGGGGCUAAUAGACCAAUCCACUGCCAAAAUUAAUUGGGCUCAUUUUCCUUGUGUUCACAGAUGGAUAAGGUCCCAGUGGAGGGUGGGAGCUGAGUAAGCUCUGGGGGCUCACUGUGUCAUGGAUGCCUCCAGCUUAAGCGGUCACUUCUGGCAGAUCAUUUACUUGGAGUUUUUACAGCAAAGCUGGGCUGGAAGCUUGGCAGGGAGAUGAUUCAUUUCCUCGAGCUUCUUUGGGGAGGGUUGUGGCAGGAGUCUGCCACUGAAGCCUGGGCUGCUGCCAGCAUUCCGCUGUAGAACCAGCACCCAUGGGUGCUCUGGCAGCGAUGUCAGGAUCCAUCUGGGGCCUCCCCAGCCCAGCAUCCCCUUGCCAGGCAGGGUGGAGAUCCUACAGCCCUGCUCAGCUCUCUCAUCUCAGAUGCUCCUAGGCACCUGGUACUGCUGCCUGGCUCUCCGUGCCUGUUUUCCCAUCGUUAAAGAGACAUCCAGUGGGUGGCAGGUCCCAGUUUUGAGCUUUCAGCUCUCUUCAUGCAAACUCUACUCACUGAGUGCUCAGGUGUGUCCCCCUCAGAGAGAGACCCCAAGGUCCAGGUAACCUCAAGUGGGCUGAACAUCCCAGUGGGUGCCUCACUGCACUGGAUCCAGCCUCUACCUGCUGCCAGGAGGCUCCUCCUCAUCCUUGGGGGGCCUCCGUUCAUCUCCCAGGAGCAAGGCCAGGAGAAGGGGUGCAAGCUCAGAAACCUGAGACCCUGUGACAUCAGUGUCCUCCUCUUCUAGGCCCCACCCUCCACAUGGCAUGUGUGACAUGAACUUUUCUGGAGAGGAAGCUGGCCAGGAUGGGAUUUCUCUGUUUCAUAAACAUCCAGAGAAGAUGGGGGUGCCAGGGAGGACAAACCAAGCUUCCACAGCUGGUGGUGGAGGGGGGUCAGAGGACAGAUGUUGCUGAUCCUCUUGGAAAAAGUCACAUUUUCACUGCUGGUGAAUUCCCUCUGCUAAAAAUACCUGCUUUUAAAUCCCAGCAGGAUCUAUGGAAGCCUGGGAUGGGGGCUUGGGAGCUUGUGCUGGGGGUCCUCAUCACCACAUGCAUGGGGACAGGAUGCUUCUGCAGCUAUCCAAAGGGAAAAAGAGGGGCAAAAAUAGCCAUUUUCCAUGAGGGAGAGAGCAGGUAGUGCUCUGGAGGUUGGCCUGUGUCAGGAUUUGGCUUUGCUAGAGUUGGGGGGGUCUGUGUUGGAUCAGAGACAAACCCUUACUCUAAGGAGAUGAAUGGUGUCAUGAAUCUUCCACGGGCUCCAGUGGGAAUAUUGAGGCAGAUAUGGCUCUGGUGUUGCACUGCACCAUGGGAUGCUGGCCAAGGAGUGCUGGCAAAAUUCCUGCCAGCAUUGAGGUCCCAUGGGUCACCCUGUCAGCUCGAGGAGUCUGGCAGGGUGAGAUCAGUAGCCUUGUCCUCUCAGGCCAGAGAAAAGGUGGCAACAGCCCACGGGUGGGGGCUUCACAGAGCCACGUGUGUGCAUGGUGGGGACAGGACAGGACAGGACAGGGUGCUGUUCACCUGCUUUGCAGGAGCAGCAUUCCCAGCUCCUGGGGCUGCCAUGCUGUGUCCCCUUUCCAUACCCUGUCCUUGGAUCUGUCUCCAAAGCCCUUUUUCCAUGCCCAUUUUCAGACAGCAUUUCCCUCCCAGGGUGAGUCUGCAGCAUCCUCGGGGCUGGGGGACAGCAGGUGAGGGUGUUGGGGUAAACCUCUGCUCUGGGCUGGAGGAGGUGGACUGAGAGUGGGAUGAAUGGGACAAAUGGAAUUAAUGGGCUGAGCAAGUGGGAUAUGCAGGAUGAGUGGGGCGAGUGGAAGGAGUGGGAUGAGCCAUUGAAUGGGAUGAGCUGUUGAGUGGGAUGAGUGGGUUGAGCUGGAUGAAAGGAACAAACAGGGUGAGUGGGAUGGGCAGGAUGAGUGGGACAAGCAGGUGAGUGGGAUGAGCCAUCAAAUGGGAUGAGUUGGAUGAACUGGAUCAAUAUAGUGAAUAGGCUGGGUGGAAUGAGGAGGAUGAGUGGGAGAAGCAGUUUAGCAGGAUGUGUGGGAUAAGUGGAAGGAGUGUGAUGUCCUUCUAGCCCACCCUCGCUCUCUCUACCUUCUUGCUAGGCUGCAAAUCCCCCUGCCAGCAUCUGCUGCUGUCUCCUUGUCUUGGGAACAUCUUCUUUUAUCUCCUACAGCUUUCCCCUCACUGUUUCAGGGAUGGACCUGUAUUCCUAGCCCUAAUAAAGUCACCACCCAUAUCCAGCUGCCACCUGUCCAUUCCCACACCAAAAAUGCCACUGGCAUUUGAUGCCCCAAGCAGACCCAAGGGACCCGCUCAGGCUCUGCCCCAUCUUCCCCUGCCCCAGGGGGGCCACUGUGGAGGAUCUGGUGGGACAGAGGGAUGGCAGGACAGCCACCUGUCUGAGGCCUGGCUGUAUUCUACAGUGCAUGUGUCUCCAGUGUGAGUAAGUGACUGGAGAUGCGGCCCUGUUGGAAUAACAUCCAGUGCCGAUGUCUUCAGCUGGAAGCACCCUCACCACCAGCCACGCUCCCAGAGCCACUUGGAUGUGACCCCAUGGCCAAGUAUGCUCCCAGGGUGGGUGGGUAGCAUGGCCCUGCGAGGGGCUGCUGUCCUGGAUGGAGGCAUGGGGUGCAUGACAAUCCCCAGGUCUGGUUAUCAGGAACAGAGCCUGGAGCCACCUGGCAAAGCUGGGAGCAGAGAAAGAGCAAAUCCCAACACCAUUAUCCAGAUCAUAACAUCAUCCUUAUCCCAGUCUCCCAGACAAGGGCUGGAGGCAGGAGCAGAGCUGGGAGGGUCACACCACAGAGCCCCCUGUGCCUCCCAGUUUUUCCUUGUGUCCAUCCUAACACCUCUGUCCCUCCAUGGGAUUGUAAUCCCCA